UACGUAGGGGGCGAGCGUUAUCCGGAUUUACUGGGCGUAAAGCGCGUUAAGGCGGUCGGCAAAGUUGGUUGUGAAAUCUCAGGGCUCAACCCUGAAAUUGCGACCAAUACUGGUCGACUAGAGUGCAAGAGAGGAAGGUGGAAUUCCCGGUGUAGUAGUGAAAUGCGUAGAUAUCGGGAGGAACACCAGUGGCGAAGGCGGCCUUCUGGCUUGUAACUGACGCUGUAGCGCGAAAGCGGAUGGGGAGCGUAACCGGGGAAUUAAGCAUGAAUC
rnacentral:rRNA from 1 species